AGUUCGGAUUGCAGGCUGCAACUCGCCUGCAUGAAGUUGGAAUUGCUAGUAAUCGCGGAUCAGCAUGCCGCGGUGAAUACGUUCCCGGGCCUUGUACACACCGCCCGUCACACCAUGGGAGCCGGUAAUACCCGAAGUCAGUAGCCUAACCGCAAGGGGGGCGCUGCCGAAGGUAGGAUUGGCGACUGGGGUGAAGUCGUAACAAGGUAGC
rnacentral:rRNA from 1 species